rnacentral:rRNA from 1 species
ACUCCUACGGGAGGCAGCAGUGGGGAAUAUUGCACAAUGGGCGCAAGCCUGAUGCAGCCAUGCCGCGUGUAUGAAGAAGGCCUUCGGGUUGUAAAGUACUUUCAGCAGUGAGGAAGGGUGGUAUGUUAAUAGCAUGAUCUUCAUUGACUGUUAGCUGCAGAAGAAGCACCGGCUAACUCCGUGCCAGCAGCCGCGGUAAUACGGAGGGUGCGAGCGUUAAUCGGAAUUACUGGGCGUAAAGCGCAUGCAGGUGGUUUGUUAAGUCAGAUGUGAAAGCCCGGGGCUCAACCUCGGAAUUGCAUUGAACUUGGACAA